GCCUCGCUGGUGUAGUGGUAGCACGCGCCUCUGGUACAGGUUUAACUCAGGGGUUCAACUCCCGACCGGGAUC